CUAUGGACUUAAUUGGAUUGAGCCUUGGUAUGAAAACCUACUAAGUGAUAACUUUCAAAUUCAAGGAAACCCUGGAAUGAAAAAUGGGCAAUCCUGAGCCAAAUCUUAUUAUUUUAUGAAAAUAAGCAUGCAAAAAGGUUCAGCAAGCGAGAAUAUAAAAAAAAGGAAAGGAUAGGUGCAGAGACUCAAUGGAAGCUAUUCUAAUAAAUGGGGUUGAUUGUUGGUAAAGGAAUUCUUAG
rnacentral:ncRNA from 1 species